rnacentral:rRNA from 1 species
AUUGAACGCUGGCGGCAUGCCUUACACAUGCAAGUCGAACGGUAACGGGCCUUCGGGUGCCGACGAGUGGCGAACGGGUGAGUAAUACAUCGGAACGUGCCCGAUCGUGGGGGAUAACGAGGCGAAAGCUUUGCUAAUACCGCAUACGAUCUACGGAUGAAAGCAGGGGACCGCAAGGCCUUGCGCGGACGGAGCGGCCGGUGGCAGAUUAGGUAGUUGGUGGGAUAAAAGCUUACCAAGCCGACGAUCUGUAGCUGGUCUGAGAGGAUGAUCAGCCACACUGGGACUGAGACACGGCCCAGACUCCUACGGGAGGCAGCAGUGGGGAAUUUUGGACAAUGGGCGCAAGCCUGAUCCAGCCAUGCCGCGUGCAGGAUGAAGGCCUUCGGGUUGUAAAAUGCUUUUGUACGGAACGAAAAGCCUUCUUUUAAUACAGGAGGGUCAUGACGGUACCGUAAGAAUAAGCACCGGCUAACUACGUG